AAAUAUGUAUACGUUUUUUACUCAUUUGUGCAUCUAGAUAUAUGGAUAUUUUUAGAUCCAUGUAGGUAUAUGGCGCCCAAGCAAAAGUACAAUUCACGUUAUGUAAAGACAAUUGCCCUGUGAUUAGUAAUUGUAUGCGUAACGAAAAACGACCAACGCCAACUACAUCAUUAGGGACAAGAAAAGCUUCUAAAUUACAUUAAUUUGUACAGGGCACGCAAAGUAGUUUGAUUAGUAUCUGAUACAAAGAACCAAGAAAAUUUGUCACAGGGGUUGGGCUCAUAGGUCAGUUGAAAGGUUGUUCGCGUAUGGAUCAAGCGCAGAGAUAAUGAACAAGGGAACGAGCCUAAGUUCUUCUUCACGCUAAAAAAAUGACUGGGCUCCAGCAAUGCCAGGUCUACCGAUUUUUCGGUAGAUCUACCGAUUCGUCAAGGAAUCUACCGAUACCAUGCAGAUUUCUACUGAAAAGUAACAAAUUAAAUUU